CUAUGCCUGUGGUCAUGGCGCGGACUGCGCCUCAAUCCAACCAGGAGCCCCUUGCUUUGAGCCCAACACAAUCGCUGCUCAUGCAUCGUAUGCCAUGAACUGGCUCUUCCAGCACUCUGAGAAGACACCUACUGAUUGCGACUUUGGCGGCGCGGCCAUGCAAACUUCCACCGAUCCAAGUCAUGAUAGCUGCGUAUAUCCUGGUAAAUAGCAAUUGAGAGAGACUUAAAGAGAGAAAGAGAAGAAAAGCUUCAGUUUGAUGUGAUGUGGGAAAAUAAGGGGAAGAAAAAAUCCGAAAAGGAGGAUUAUCAGAGAGAAUUACUGUGUUUAGUGCCGCUUAAUAAAUUGAUCUUCAUUUUAAACGCUUUUUUUUUUUCCUUUAUCUAAUAUAUGGGUUUGAGAGAUUAAGCUAGCCUUGUCUCAUUUAUCCAUUAAUCGUAUUGCGAAGGGUUACGCAUUGUAGAAGCAAGAAUCCAAUUUCGAAUAUACCGCAUUUCGUUCUCGCAGCU